GAUGAACGCUAGCGGCAGGCUUAAUACAUGCAAGUCGUGGGGCAGCAGGUUUGUAGCAAUACAGAUGCUGGCGACCGGCAAACGGGUGCGGAACACGUACAGAACCUUCCUUUGAGCGGGGAAUAGCCCAGAGAAAUUUGGAUUAAUACCCCAUAGUAUAAUGAAGUGGCAUCACUUUAUUAUUAAAGAUUUAUCACUCGAAGAUGGCUGUGCGGCUGAUUAGGUAGUUGGCGGGUAAAGGCCCACCAAGCCUGCGAUCAGUAACUGGUGUGAGAGCACGACCAGUCACACGGGCACUGAGACACGGGCCCGACUCCUACGGGAGCAGCAGUAAGGAAUAUUGGUCAAUGGAGGCAACUCUGAACCAGCCAUGCCGCGUGGAGGAUGAAGGUCCUCUGGAUUGUAAACUUCUUUUAUAUGGGACGUAAAAAAAGGCUUUUCUAAGUCGUCUGACGGUACCAUAUGAAUAAGCACCGGCUAACUCCGUGCCAGCAGCCGC
rnacentral:rRNA from 1 species